ACUCAGUGUCCCUGGCAAGGACACACUGAACUGCGGGACUCCUGCCACACACACAAACACACACACACAUAAACACACACUCAGUGACGAAUAAAAGCUGCCUCGGACACACAAACACACACGGCGUUUCGUUGUUUUUGCCACAUAAACAGGUUUUCUCCGGUUCCAACAGCUGUAUUCAUAAUAACCUGUAUAAGAUUCGCAGCUGGACAAACAUCGGUGAAUUGAAAUGAGCAAAAACACGAUGCAAAAGCGACUAAGCUCCUUAUUUGUCCCGUUAGAGUCUGUUUUCUUACAUUUUGGCUGCCCUUUCACUGAAACUCCAGCAAUCUUUCUGAGGAAAAACGCUGAAACUUUAAACCGUUUUUUAUGCCGGCAGCAUGACAUCAGAUGGAAAAAUUCCUCAUGUCUUGUUCUGUGGGUUUAAACAAUGGUUGGCUGUGCAACUCUGACAAAGAGAAACAAAACUAGUGGAAGAAUCAGCACUGAAAAUAUCUAGAAAUAUGAGUAGCUACAGCGCUCAGGUCGACAGGUUGACUGAUACGCUCUCAUACGAACAGAUUCGCAGUGCAUCUUUCUCCAGACAGCAGCAGUCUGAGGCUGCAGUUGGUGAUCCGCCAGCAUCUUUCUAACUGCACUUUCUAACUCAUCGCUCCUCCACGUUGCCCACUGACAGCUGGUGUGUCGGAGCCGAGAAAGUCUGGAGCGUCUCAGUGGGAGUAAUAGCAGACAUUGUUAUAGGAGAAGUUUGUUCGGUGAGAUGAAUGUUUCCAGCUCUAUUAUUGCUCAAUAAAAUCUACGCUCAGCUGUCAAACCUCCUCAAACAAAAGCUAAAUCCAGCUGGAGGAGCAGCGACAAGCUGAAAGCAGUUGAAGCGGCUGUGCAGGUGAGAAUACCUGAGCGUGGCUGCUGCACACGUGGAGGACGGUGAUGAGGAAAAUAACUCCAAGCGACGCGACGACGCUCCACAUCGAGUAUAGCCACGCGGGCCACAUCGUGAGCGAUUAGCUUUCAGUCAGCCGGACGACAGAUAAUCUGUCCCGAGACAAGCUCCGCAGUGAAACUUCCACCUGCAGCUUACACGUAUCGUCGUCAUGCAGCACCGCAACAUUUGUGUGUGUGCAGGAAUGGACAAUCCUGCUUCAUUUGAUUAGCAAAGCGGCGGACAAACACACAAUCUGGACAUGCAAAUGCUCCAGCCAGGUCACAACAUCUGCGAGUCCAGACAGAGCUCAGAGGAAAAGUCGAGGGAAAGUCUGAGCAAUGUUUUGUGUUUUUUCUACUUGUGUGACCACUUGUCUAAUCUUGUGUUGGUCUCCUUUAUUCUGCUAAAACUCCUCUGACCCCGUGGGACAUGGACAGAGGACCUCUGGGGAUGUCCUGUGGCACCGGGAUGCUGUGGGUUCUGUGGGUUACAGGGUGGGACCUAGAUCAGGCUUGUCCUGGAACAUCCUACAGAUGCUCAAUAACAUUUAGAUGUGGGGAGUGUAGAACCCGGGUGAACAGCUUAGCUCUGUCAUGUUCCCCGGGCCACUCCUGAGCAGUUUUUGAAGUGUGUCGGAGUGUAUUGUCGUCAAAGACUGCUGCUGCCAUUAGGGGUAAAGGUGGGGGUUUGGAUUGCUUGAUCUGCAAUAUUUAGGUGGGCAGUACAUGUCAAAUAUCCACAUGAAUGUCAGGGCUCAAGGUUUCCCAACAGAACGUUGCAUUAUAACAAGAUGAUCCAUGUUAUUCGCUCCACCUGUCAGUGGUAAUGACGUUGUGCCUGAUCAGCGUAUGCUACAAAUGCAGACACGAAUAUGAGUGUGACACUGAAAAACUGCAACACGAGUAAAAUAAACAAAACCUCCUAAACAGCAGCUCCAACACAAUCAAUGGUGAGAUGUUGAAGCAGGAACAGUAAAUUUAUUGUCAACUGUCCUGGCGAUUUUCAUAAUCAAAUAUCCAAUUUGAAUCAUUUUUAUAAAGAGAAAACUAUCGAAAUUCACUGAUUCCUGCUACCUAAAUGUGAAUAUUUUGUUUUCUUUUCUCCUCUUGAUAUUUUACAUAAUUGUCUGACAUGUUCUAGACAAGGAAACCAAGAAGAAAAAUCUGAAAAAAUUCAUCAACAAUUAGAAUAAUUGUCAGUUGCAGCCCUAUGUUGGGUGUAGCACUGUAUCACCAAUUAAACUAGUUUUAUGUUUUAAUAUAUAAAGCAAGAAAUACAUUGUAAAUGAACAUUUUUAUCAGCUUAAAUUAAUGGCUUUUUCAACAGUUUAUUUUUUCUUUACGGUGUUUUCCAAAUGUUAUUCAAUUGCAGAUAUUAUCUGGUAAAAGCACAGCAUUCAAAUCUUCUAAAAAAAUAUAAUAAUUUUAAAACAUUUCCCAUUAUUUUGAACAUUAGAACAUGCUUGCUGCUACAUAUACAUUUUAGACAUUCUCAAGGUGUCAUUUUGUAUUAACUUUCCCAGCUGCCACAUGAAUUUCACCUUUUGCAAGCUUUUGUGAAACACUUUGCACGAAUGUUUAAUGCCUCAACUAACAUUUUCCUAAUCAGUGAAUCAGUCUAUUUAUAAACUAGUAUAGUCCUAAUAGUUUCAAUAUUCAAAUUGCUUCCAUUUUUCAACUGACCUAAAUAUUUUUAAUUCACGAUGUUUUAAAACAUCCUCAGAAAUGCAGUCCUCCAUGUACUGACAGAUAGUUUGUCUACUUUCCAAAGAGUAUAGAGUUAUAGAGCCAAAAUCACCAUGACAUACCUAACUAUUGUUGUUUUAUGAUAACUGUUGACCAAUCAUACAUUUUUUGCUGCUGCUUGCUGAUACUUACUAAACUGUGGGUGUAUUAUGAGCCUAAACGUGUUGACACUGAGUCACUGAGCUGUGAUUCACUGAGGAACAGGUGUAUUAAACCAGACCACACAUGCAGCUCAAAAACACCUAAAAUACAUGUUUUCACAGUAGAAAAACACCAUUCACUGCUUGACUGUGGAGAUACUUAAGAAAACAUGACUAUUCUUUUUGAUUUUAGUGUCAUGGUUGAUACGUUCAGCACCUGUCUGCUGCAGUCACCAGGGUGUGAAUCUGUGAUGAUCCAAUAUUCAGUUUUGUUCCCAAUAUAUCUAUUAACACGUGCUUUAACAUAUAUUUUUAACAUCGGUGCUUUAUUCACAUAUAUUGAGUUAUGCUGCAGCACUGUUAAACAUUGGUGUGUAUAUAAAAGUGACAGUGCACUACUUAUGCAUGUAUAUACUUCCUGAGUGUGCCUUUAAAUGUUUUAUGGUAUAAAUGACAUCCUUACAGUGUUUACUUUCACUGAUGAAUGCCAAAUAAAUUCAAGUCUUUCCUCGA